rnacentral:misc_RNA from 1 species
GAUGAAGAAGCAGCGAAAUGCGAUAAGUAAUGCGAAUUGCAGAAUCCGUGAGUCAUCGAAUCUUUGAACGCACAUUGCGCCCUCUGGUAUUCCGGAGGGCAUGCCUGUUCGAGCGUCAUUAUCACCCCUCAAGCCCGGCUUGUUGUUGGAUGCAGCGCUUAUCCCGCUCCUCCCAAAGAUAAUGACGGCGUCUGCGACGACUCCUGUACACUGAGCUUUCGGGCACGUACACGGCUAGAAGUCCAGACCCGGUCGCCGUCCCCCCCGCGGGGACACCCAUUACCACAAGGUUGACCUCGGAUCAGGUAGGAAUACCCGCUGAACUUAAGCAUAUCAAUAAGCGGAGGA